rnacentral:lncRNA from 1 species
CACACACACAGCUGCAGGAUGUAACAGGGUGCUGCCUGUGGGUUGUGCUGGGAAAGACUUGUGAUUCGUGAGGCCAGAAGGCACUGAGGGCUGCACUAAAUAACUUUGGAGUUAAGUGCAGAUGGAGUAGGACAUGAGAAGUACAGCUUGCUGAAUUGCACAGUUGUGUGCAAUUCAGCGUAUCAUGUUGAUAUAUUCUAUACUAUUUCAAAAUUUCCCAAGAUUUGCAAGAUUUACACUCUACAGAAUAGAGGCUACCCUUGACCUGGCUGUCUUGCCCAACAGACUGUUACUGCUUCUGUUGUCAAGAGGCGUCUGUGGCUGCAGAAGAGUCCAGGAUUUGUCUGUGAUAGAGUGACUACAAGUGACCCAGUUCCACAGCGUACACUUGGCCAAUGCCAAACAUGAAUUCUGUUGGAACUUGGCCUUUGCAUGCAAAAUGUUUUCAUCUUUAGUAUUUGGUGGUGCUAUUGGCGGAGCAUCAAUAUUUUGCAUGUUAGACACUUUGGUUGAUGGCAUUAAAUUCAAAUCUCUAGAGCCAUUUCAAUUCUGACUGCUCAUUCAGAGUAUUAAGGAAGUUUAAAAAGCAGCCUACCAUUACAGUGCUUAACUAUUUCACUAUUAAAUUAUAACCCAGUUGCUAUAAUGCCACUGAAACUUAGUGAACCUGAGCUACAGUCCAGCAAUAGUGCUUUCUUACUAAAAUAAAAAUUCUGGUGAAACAAAUAUGAAAUAUUUG